UACGAAGGGUGCAAGCGUUAAUCGGAAUUACUGGGCGUAAAGCGCGCGUAGGUGGUUCGUUAAGUUGGAUGUGAAAGCCCCGGGCUCAACCUGGGAACUGCAUCCAAAACUGGCGAGCUAGAGUAUGGCAGAGGGUGGUGGAAUUUCCUGUGUAGCGGUGAAAUGCGUAGAUAUAGGAAGGAACACCAGUGGCGAAGGCGACCACCUGGGCUAAUACUGACACUGAGAUCCCAAAGCGCCGCCAGCUUACCGCAUCAGCUGGCCCGGUAGUUC
rnacentral:rRNA from 1 species